AUUGAACGCUGGCGGCAUGCCUUACACAUGCAAGUCGAACGGCAGCACGGGAGCAAUCCUGGUGGCGAGUGGCGAACGGGUGAGUAAAGUAUCGGAACGUGCCCAGUCGUGGGGGAUAACGUAGCGAAAGUUACGCUAAUACCGCAUACGAUCUAUGGAUGAAAGCGGGGGAUCGCAAGACCUCGCGCGAUUGGAGCGGCCGAUAUCAGAGUAGGUAGUUGGUGGGGUAAAGGCUCACCAAGCCGACGAUCUGUAGCUGGUCUGAGAGGACGACCAGCCACACUGGGACUGAGACACGGCCCAGACUCCUACGGGAGGCAGCAGUGGGGAAUUUUGGACAAUGGGCGAAAGCCUGAUCCAGCCAUGCCGCGUGCAGGAUGAAGGCCUUCGGGUUGUAAACUGCUUUUGUACGGAACGAAAAGGUUUGGCCUAAUAAGCUGAGCUCAUGACGGUACCGUAAGAAUAAGCACUGGCUAACUACGUGCCAGCCGCCGCAGUAA
rnacentral:rRNA from 1 species